CGAGCUGUUCCCGAAUGACUUGUUCUUGCCUUUUUAAUCGUCGUUUUCUUCGCAGGACUGAAAGAAUAAUGAUGUGACGCAAUCUUUGCCGCGCAUAUGGAGUCGCUUUCCGCAGCCGUUUGCCGGAGCUCACCGCAUGCAUGGAGUCUUAGCUUAACGGUUGUCCGAUCUACCGGCAACCUCCGGUCAUGUAUUGUAUACAAUAACAUUUGUGUUCGUAUAAUAAAGUCUGUGCUGUGAUUACAA